rnacentral:rRNA from 1 species
AUACGGAGGGUGCGAGCGUUAUUCGGAAUUACUGGGCGUAAAGCGCGUGUAGGCGGGAGUGCAAGUCUGAUGUGAAAGCCCCGGGCUCAACCCGGGAAGUGCAUUGGAAACUGCAUUUCUUGAGUAUCGGAGAGGAUGGGGGAAUUCCCGGUGUAGAGGUGAAAUUCGUAGAGAUCGGGAGGAAUACCAGUGGCGAAGGCGCCCAUCUGGACGGUAACUGACGC